AAAAGACUUCUUAUUUCUCUUGAAGUAUAUUCAUGAUUCAUAAACUUUUUAUCAAUCUUCUUUACAAUAAAGGAAAAUCCUUUAUUUAUAGGGAAAACCUUACAUGGUCCCCAAGUAGGAUUCUUAACCAUAUCCUACUAGGACUCCACAUAAUUAGACAUUCUUUACAAUACAAAUUGUUUAUAACAAAAAUAAAUAUUUUGUAUUAUUUUAUUUUAUUUUUGAAUAUGAAGAGAAAUUGCUAUCUUGGGAAUAUAAUUAAAAUUAAAACCAAAAGUGUUAGUCAAAUACAAUAAAUAAGUAAAGAGGGAAAAGGAGAAAAUGUUUGAACUUGGGUCAAUUGCCCAAUUUCAACUAAGUUGGGCCUUUGACCCACCUGUCCUAACUCUAAAAAAUUUGUCCAAAAUGGCUUGAUAGGUCCCAAAAGUUUCUACUGAACCUGCUGUAAAAUAUUGGGCUUUAAGCCCAUUUCUCCAUCAGAAAAAUCUGCACGUGUACUGAGUGUAUACUCAUGUAUAUAGUCUGUAUACUGACGUGUUUUUCUGCAUAUCAUCACAUAAAUUAAAUGAAUAUAAUAUAUUUCAUCUCCGAACACCCGUAAUUCCGUUUUAUAACCAUGUAUACGCUGAUUUUUGCCUUGUAUAUCACAUAUACUUCUGUAUAUCAAUGUAUCCCGGUGUAUAUUCACAUCUAUAUAGUCCGUUUUGGACUAUACCAAGAACUGUAAAUCAGUUCCUGCCCCUGUAAUUUCUCCCCCUUCACUUAAACAAGAUGAGGGUGACUCAAAGAAAAGUUUAACUCAUAGAAAUGCAAAAGUGGACUCGAAUUGAUAUCACAUGCAAAUAAAGAGUGAAACAUUAGCAUUUACACUUGAAACUACUAUACCAUGAGAAUAAUUAAUAAGAAAUAAGAAAUAGUUAAAAGAAAACUACCAGCAUACGUAACAGGGAAGUGAAGCAUAUAUCCAAAUACACAAAAUGAAGGUUGGUUAGUUAAGAGCAUGUGAUCAUGCCCUGGGUAUCAAAUCUUUUGACAUACUACUAAAUAUAACAGAGGAAGAUAGUAAAAAAUGUUUAGAAUCAUAGCCCAAGUCUAUUUUUUUUUUAAAAAGAUAAUUUCUAAAACAAGAUUUUACAUCUAUAUUACCAGAACAAACUAGUAUUCAAUAGUCAUGUUAUUAAGCCAAAACAGUCUUGUCUCCUCAUCCAACUUCAUAAACAUUAAUGUAAUCAUAAAACACAAUCUCAAUCUCAAAGUGGUACACUUAACAAUUUCGAAAUAAACGAGAUAUUUGAAGCAAAAUCACAACAUAACUCAGUAAUACCAUUACUAAAGAGACCAAAGUUAUGCUAGAGUCGAAAUACUACAAAAUGAAACAUGACAGAUCUGAAAAAAAAUUACAAAAAUAAAAUAAAAUUGUCAAACAAUGAAGUCACUGGACAAAGAUGUAAGGUUUCAGCCUUUCCAAGCAACCACGAGACAUAAAUCAAGUAAAGGAAGUUAUGAAACUGAUAUUGAAUCAGACAAAUGAGACUAAAAUCUAAUUAACAUAACAAUCAUGUAACUAUAAGAUGCUUCAAACAGUGAGACUUAAGGCCCUUAAUACGAAACUCCUAUCACCAACACAUUUUACAAGACCUGCUCAAUUAGACUCGACCAAUAAACGAACAGAGCAAAGAAAGACUUGAGACUAACAAGUUGAGACACUAAUGAGCAGUGAUGAGAGAGGGACUCCAAUGGAAAACUUGGAUAGCCUAAGCGAACAAAUCAAAAAAUAGUUAUUUGAAUACUAUCGUCUUAACGUAAACGAACAACUCUUUCUUUAGUUCUUUCUCACUGUGUCCCUUCAAUUUUUCCAACUUUGUUUCAAACUUUUCCAAACUUAAAAUCAACCAUCUCCAACCUUUAGAACGGAGAGAGUGAGGACUUUAAAAAGAAUAAGAUAAUAUUUGAUUUGGAGGGAAAUAGAUUGAAUUUAAAAUUUCAAAUUCGAAUUCCCUGAAAGAAACAGGUUGAAAUUUUGUACAGUUCUCAAAGGAUUCAAAGAGGGGACCGUCCGAUUCGAGCAAAGGAUGAUGAAGGACGGAGAUAAAGACACCUGUACUGAUUUGCGAACGCUCUUGGUACGAAAGGAUAAGGAGAGAGGAGACACUCUUGGUACGGAAGGAUAAGGUUGAAAUUUUGUACAGUUCGCUUUGUCGCUUGAAUCGCUCGGUUUCUUCGUUCUGCUGGACUGCACGAGAAAGAAGAGAACUGGGCUGCUGGAAAUGACACUAAAAAAGACCAAAAUUGAUCUCCAAAUGGGUUUAAAGUGAGGUUACAAAGUCUAGAAAGGAGAAACCUUCGUCCUUCUACUUCCGCCACUCUCUCCAGUCUCCAAUUUCGAAACUCUGGUGAGGCGAGGAUGGAACUCAACUAACCAACGAGUUACUCAGGCCGUCAGGCGUCCGGCGAGGAGACAACUAAGGGUGCAUAUCGGUCUUACAGGGUAACGACUAACAAUGAUUUCAUGGUGCAUUAUUUGUUUACCCUUCGCGCUGUGUUGUAUCUAUUACCCUUCGCGCUGUGUUGUAUAUGAUUUCAUGCUGCAUUAUUUGUUUACAAGAACAUGUGGAUUUGUGAAGCAAUUUAAUUGAUUAUGGUAUGUGUGCUGAGCUUAGAUGGGGCAAUAUGAUCAGUAGUUCACAAA